rnacentral:rRNA from 1 species
GACGAACGCUGGCGGCGUGCCUAACACAUGCAAGUCGAGCGGAGAUAAGCGGAUGGUAACUGAAGUUUGUCUUAGCGGCGGACGGGUGAGUAACACGUGGGCAACCUGCCUUGGAGUGGGGGAUAACACCGGGAAAUCGGUGCUAAUACCGCAUAACAUACACAAACUGCAUGGUAAGUGUAUCAAAGGAGCAAUCCGCUUUAAGAUGGGCCCGCGGCUGAUUAGCUAGUUGGUAAGGUAACGGCUUACCAAGGCGACGAUCAGUAGCCGACCUGAGAGGGUGACCGGCCACACUGGAACUGAGACACGGUCCAGACUCCUACGGGAGGCAGCAGUGGGGAAUAUUGCGCAAUGGGGGGAACCCUGACGCAGCAACGCCGCGUGGAGGAAGAAGGUCUUCGGAUUGUAAACUCCUGUCUUCUGGGACGAAGUAGUGACGGUACCAGAGGAGGAAGCCACGGCUAACUACGUG